rnacentral:rRNA from 1 species
UACAGAGGGGGCAAGCGUUAUUCGGAAUUAUUGGGCGUAAAGGGCGCGUAGGCGGCCUGGCAAGUGGAAGGUGAAAUCCCUCGGCUUAACCGAGGAACUGCCUCCCAAACUGCUUGGCUUGAGACCGGGAGAGGUGAGUGGAAUUCCCAGUGUAGCGGUGAAAUGCGUAGAUAUUGGGAGGAACACCAAUGGCGAAAGCAGCUCUCUGGGACGGUACUGACGCUGAGACGCGAAAGCGUGGGGAGCGAACAGG